AACGAACGCUGGCGGCAUGCCUAACACAUGCAAGUCGAACGAGACCUUCGGGUCUAGUGGCGCACGGGUGCGUAACGCGUGGGAACCUGCCCUUAGGUUCGGAAUAACUCCCCGAAAGGGGUGCUAAUACCGGAUAAUGUCUUCGGACCAAAGAUUUAUCGCCUUUGGAUGGGCCCGCGUUGGAUUAGCUAGUUGGUAGGGUAAAAGCAUACCAAGGCGACGAUCCAUAGCUGGUCUGAGAGGAUGAUCAGCCACACUGGGACUGAGACACGGCCCAGACUCGUACGGGAGGCAGCAGUGGGGAAUAUUGGACAAUGAGCGAAAGACUGAUCCAGCAAUGCCGCGUGAGUGAUGAAGGGCUUAGGGUUGUAAAGCUCUUUUACCCGGGAUGAUAAUGACAGUACCGGGAGAAUAAGCUCCGGCUAACUCCGUG
rnacentral:rRNA from 1 species